rnacentral:rRNA from 1 species
GGGACACGUGGUAUCCUGUCUGAAUAUGGGGGGACCAUCCUCCAAGGCUAAAUACUCCUGACUGACCGAUAGUGAACCAGUACCGUGAGGGAAAGGCGAAAAGAACCCCGGCGAGGGGAGUGAAAAAGAACCUGAAACCGUGUACGUACAAGCAGUGGGAGCCUACUUGUUAGGUGACUGCGUACCUUUUGUAUAAUGGGUCAGCGACUUAUAUUCUGUAGCAAGGUUAACCGUAUAGGGGAGCCGCAGGGAAACCGAGUCUUAACUGGGCGUUAAGUUGCAGGGUAUAGACCCGAAACCCGGUGAUCUAGCCAUGGGCAGGUUGAAGGUUGGGUAACACUAACUGGAGGACCGAACCGACUAAUGUUGAAAAAUUAGCGGAUGACUUGUGGCUGGGGGUGAAAGGCCAAUCAAACCGGGAGAUAGCUGGUUCUCCCCGAAAGCUAUUUAGGUAGCGCCUCGUGAACUCAUCUUCGGGGGUAGAGCACUGUUUCGGCUAGGGGGUCAUCCCGACUUACCAACCCGAUGCAAACUACGAAUACCGAAGAAUGUUAUCACGGGAGACACACGGCGGGUGCUAACGUCCGUCGUGAAGAGGGAAACAACCCAGACCGCCAGCUAAGGUCCCAAAGUCAUGGUUAAGUGGGAAACGAUGUGGGAAGGCACAGACAGCCAGGAUGUUGGCUUAGAAGCAGCCAUCAUUUAAAGAAAGCGUAAUAGCUCACUGGUCGAGUCGGCCUGCGCGGAAGAUGUAACGGGGCUAAACCAUG